CAAAGGUGAGCCAGUACAGGAUGGACCCGCGUCUGAUUAGCUAGUUGGUAAGGUAACGGCUUACCAAGGCGACGAUCAGUAGCCGACCUGAGAGGGUGAUCGGCCACAUUGGAACUGAGACACGGUCCAAACUCCUACGGGAGGCAGCAGUGGGGAAUAUUGCACAAUGGGCGAAAGCCUGAUGCAGCAACGCCGCGUGAGUGAUGAAGGCCUUCGGGUCGUAAAACUCUGUCCUCAAGGAAGAUAAUGACGGUACUUGAGGAGGAAGCCCCGGCUAACUACGUGCCAGCAGCCGCGGUAAUACGUAGGGGGCUAGCGUUAUCCGGAUUUACUGGGCGUAAAGGGUGCGUAGGCGGUCUUUCAAGUCAGGAGUGAAAGGCUACGGCUCAACCGUAGUAAGCUCUUGAAACUGGGAGACUUGAGUGCAGGAGAGGAGGGUGGAAUUCCUAGUGUAGCGGUGAAAUGCGUAGAUAUUAGGAGGAACACCAGUUGCGAAGGCGGCUCUCUGGACUGUAACUGACGCUGAGGCACGAAAGCGUGGGGAGCAAACAGGAUUAGAUACCCUGGUAGUCCACGCUGUAAACGAUGAGUACUAGGUGUCGGGGGUUACCCCCUUCG
rnacentral:rRNA from 1 species